rnacentral:ribozyme from 1 species
GCAUGUCAUCAUACACCACAUUGCAAGAACAACAACAACAACAACGAGCGAUGAAAAUCACCGGGACGACGGCCUCUCCUCCGCUAAAUCGAGGCAACGCCGCCGCGGAGACAAGAAAGUGCAGGAGAGACCGCUUCGGCAUCAUCUGAGCAAAGCAAAGACGAGGAGGAAGAGAGAGAGAGCGGAGGAAGGAAGAAGAAGAAGGCGCAUUCAUUUCC